rnacentral:rRNA from 1 species
CAGUCGCCGCGGUAAUGCGGAGGGAGCUAGCGUUGUUCGGAAUUAUUGGGCGUAAAGGGCUCGCAGGCGGUUUCUUAAGUCUGAUGUGAAAGCCCCCGGCUCAACCGGGGAGGGUCAUUGGAAACUGGGAAACUUGAGUGCAGAAGAGGAGAGUGGAAUUCCACGUGCAGCGGUGAAAUGCGUAGAGAUGUGGAGGAACACCAGUGGCGAAGGCGACUCUCUGGUCUGUAACUGACGCUGAGGAGCGAAAGCGUGGGGAGCGAACAGGAUUAGAUACCCCAGUAGUCCCUGUCUCUUAUAC